rnacentral:rRNA from 1 species
GACGAACGUUGGCGGCGUGCUUAAUACAUGCAAGUCAACUGAAGCAGUGGUAGCAAUAUCGCUGUGGAGGUGGCGCACGGGUGAGUAACACGUAGGUAAUCUGCCUUCAGGUCUGGCAUAACUCCGGGAAACCGGGGCUAAUAGCAGAUGAUGCAGCGGCUCGACAUCGAGACAGUUGUUAAAGCUAUGGCGCCUGAAGAUGAGCCUGCGUCUGAUUAGCUAGUUGGCGGGGUAACGGCCCACCAAGGCAACGAUCAGGAGCUGGUCUGAGAGGAUGAUCAGCCACACUGGAACUGAGACACGGUCCAGACUCCGACGGGAGGCAGCAGUAAGGAAUAUUGCUCAAUGGGAGAAAUCCUGAAGCAGCAACGCCGCGUGAGGGACGAAGGGCUUUGGCUUGUAAACCUCUGUAGUGAGAGAAAAAAAUCCCAAUCUUUGGGACAUGAUGGUAUCUCAAAAGUAAGCCCCGGCUAACUACGUG